GAUGAACGCUGGCGGCGUGCUUAACACAUGCAAGUCGAACGAGAAAUGGAGACGGAAACCUUCGGGCGGAAGGCUUCAUUUCGAGUGGCGGACGGGUGAGUAACGCGUGGGUAACCUGCCUCAUACAGGGGGAUAACAGUUGGAAACGACUGUUAAUACCGCAUAAGACCACAGCACCGCAUGGUGCGGGGGUAAAAACUCCGGUGGUAUGAGAUGGACCCGCGUUCGAUUAGCCAGUUGGCGGGGUAACGGCCCACCAAAGCGACGAUCGAUAGCCGAUCUGAGAGGAUGACCGGCCACAUUGGGACUGAGACACGGCCCAAACUCCUACGGGAGGGAGCAGUGGGGAAUAUUGCACAAUGGGGGAAACCCUGAUGCAGCGACGCCGCGUGAGUGAAGAAGUACUUCGGUAUGUAAAGCUCUAUCAGCAGGGAAGAAAAUGACGGUACCUGAGUAAGAAGCCCCGGCUAACUACGUG
rnacentral:rRNA from 1 species